ensembl:lncRNA
CAAUCAGUGCACUGCCACUCAAAGGACCCGGAUAGAGGCUUGGAUCCAAGAGCCUGAGGCACAUCACUGGAAAAAAAAAAAGAGAGCGAGAGAGAAAAUAACAGCGCCACAGCAGAGCGCAGUGUUAUCCAACGCGAGCUCUUCUUUGCUGCAGGCGGCUCCGUCCCAAACCUCAGCCCUAUCUUGAGUGAACAUCACACAGCCGAGAUGAAAAAGCGGGAAAUCGAUGCAGGGGAGCGCGCGCCAUGUAGAGAGCCUGGCUUUGCUUUGAUCGAAGGCUGACUGACAAGACCUUCAGCCCUGUGAUCUCCGGCAUGAUGAAGGACCGGAGCCGUGGUGGCGCAACAACGUGUGUUUGUUGUAUUUUGUGCGUUGUAGGUUUUGUGUAUUUGUGUACAUGUUUUUGAAAAAAAAAUAUUAGCUUCAAAACCUAGCGAGCCGCCUACGGAGCCGGCAUUUUAAAACUUCAUAGGCGCUCUUCUGACACAAAGUCUUUCUCAAAGGGUCGUCGCAAUUAUGCUGCCGCCUAAGAUACCUUCUUAAGGCCACAUUUUAAAGCGGAAUCACUAUGCUUUGCAUAAAAGACAAAAAAUUAUAAAUAAUAUACAUAAAUAAAAACUGGUUGUUAGUGUUAAAGGAAUAGUCCACCCAAAAAUUCUGUCAUCAUUUACUCAGUUUAAUUGUUUUGGUUCCCAUUGACUUCCAUUGUAUGGGCAAAAAUACUGUAGAAGUCAAUGGGAACCAAAACUGUUUGGUUACGAGCUUUUGUUGUUUUUUUUUUUGUUUUAUAAUAUCUUCUUUUGCGCUGAGCAGAAGAAUGAAAUGCAUACAGGUUUUGAACAACAUGAGGUUGAGUAAAUGACAGAUUUGAUCACUUUAACUAAAAAACUAUUAAAAUGAUUAAAAAUGUAAAUAAAGCUAAAAUAAAAUAUAAAUAUUAGGUGAAAAACAAACUUUAAAAAACAAAAAUUUGAAAUUAUGCCUUGGCUACUAACUGAAAUUAAAUAAGUUGAAGUUGAAGUAAAUUUAAUACAACUAAAAUUGAAAAUAUAAAUAAAUGAAAGCUAAAUUGGAAUUUAAAUAAAAAACUAGAUUUCUAAAACAAACAAGUUAAAAUGCGAACUGAAAAUAUAAAAUAAAAGCUAAUUUAAAAUACUAAUAUUUAUAUACUGUAAUAGUAUAUAAAUAAUACUAAAAAACAUGAAAAUUAAUCCAAAACUGGUGUAUGAGCUGAAAGAUAUUUUGAUUAUAAAUUAGCUUAUAGUUAAAUGAAAUUAAAAAAAAAUAUGCCUAUUAGCAAUUUACACUGCUUAGCAACAUGCUAAUGUCAAACUUUUGAAAUCAAUCGGCGGUUCUCCAGUUCAGAGUGCUGUUUGUGUUGCUUCUCUGCUGGGGAGUAGAUAUUGAGGCAGCUAGUCAGGUUUUGGAAUGCUUUAUUGUUUAGCCUGCAUAACAAAAAAUGUGUACACAAACACACAACUGGCACAGCCAGGCGGGUCAGGACAAGCCUGUACUCUCUCCUCUUGCCUUCCCUUUUCAGACAAGUACAGAGGGGGUGUGAGACAGAGGGCUCUGUCUGCAUCUAAAGCCUGCUGGGAAAGGCUGUACUCUCAUCUCCCACACAGCAGAAUGCAUAUGCACCAAAAUCCUCUUCACUUUAAAACAACCUUCCCCUUCAGCCUCCUCUGGUACUCCCGACGGGUCAUCACAUGAAGCGUGUCCUCUGGUCUACCUUUGCUGGGGAUGGUGACCUUCACAGAGGCUUGAGAGAUGCCUCGGACCAGAGCAUUGUGGGUACUCUAAGACUGAGUGACAUACACAGCAUGGAAGCACUGGCGAGGAGCUUUGCUGAACCUUGUGAUCCAUGUCACUGCCUCAAUGGGACACACACACCCGAUAUAAAUCCACUGACAUUACAGCGGAUUGAUGUUUAUAUACAAGAGUUUUCAGCUGAAAAGCUGCAUUACCACUGAAAGAGUGACCAUAAUGCAUUGUGGUUCAGAAGAUUCAUGUCUCUCUCUUCUGUGAUUUUUUACCUUCUGCCAAGCUUAAAGAAUGAAAUGAGAGAUUGUAGAUUACUGUAGAUGUCAGAUUUUGCUCCAGCACGCUAAAUUAACAGCUAAAGUAAACACUGUAAAGCUGAAUUGUGUAAUUUCUGUGCCAUUACUGGCAACAAAUAGAAUGGAAAAAGAUUACUCAUAAACACAUGUAUUUUUAAUUAUAUAAUGAUAUGUUUUUAUAAUUUUUUUAUUACACUACUGCUCUACAAUGGUGGGGUCAGUAAAAUUUUUUUGUGUCUCAUGCUCACCAAGGCUGCAUUUAUUUGAUCAAAAAUACAGUAAAAAUAGUAAUAUUGUGAUAUAAUAAAUAUAUGAUUACAAUUUAAAAUAACUCAAUUCUGUUUUCAUACAUUUUGAAAGGUCAUUUAUUCCUGUAAUGGCAAAGCUGAAUUUUCAGCAGUCAUUGUUUCAGUUUCCAGUGUCACAUGAUCCUUCAGAAAUUAUUCUUAUAUGCGAAUUUGGUGCUCAAAAAAAUUCUUAUGAUUAUCAAUUUUAAAAUGGUUAUGCUACUUGAUAUUUUUGUGGAAACUGUGAUAGCAUUUUUUUUUUCAGGAAUGAUGCA